GGUAACUGAAACCGUGGACAGUGAAACUGCAGAUAUUUGGAGCUGAGUCUGUGUUCUGGCACUGAGGAUCCUACUGCAGACUUUGUCUUUCUUGCUAGGUUUGAUGAAGUAAAUUGCAAUGGUGAAGAGGCCCAUGUGGCAAGGAGCUGAGGGUGGCCUCUGAUCAACAGUCAGUGAUAAUCAAGUCCCUCAGAACAACACUCAAGGAACUGACUUCUGCCAAUAACCACGUGGUAGGGAGCCACUGGUGAGAAGAUGUUCGUUAGUAAGUUUUUGCUACAAAGAAUGUUUGCUGGCAUCAGUGAAGAAUGUUUAUCUUUGCUUGCAAAUGAUAUUGCCUGUAUCAUGAAUAACUAUGAGGAGAACACAAAAGGAAAAUUCCAAAAUUUAAAUUUGCACAUUUAUUGCAGUUCCAUGUUUCAAGUGUCUAAUGCCUAUUAAUUCAGAUGCCAUGAUUUUCUUUUCUUCUCCAUGAUCAUUUUGACUUGGAU
rnacentral:lncRNA from 1 species